ACACAGAUGCUAAGGGGGAAGAACGCAACAGAAGACUAAAAAAGAAGGACAAAGGGCCCAGCAGAAAAAAGAACACGAAGAAACAUUCUGUAUCUCUGGAAAGUGCCAGGAGAGCAAAAAAGCAUCUUUGGUCUCCCAUGGAGGUUGCCGCAGUCAUGAGACAUUUUGGCCAACACAUCAAAAAAGGGAAACUGGCCACUAUGAUUGAAUGCCAGCAAUGCAAGAAGGCUGAAAAUCUUGCUCUGGCUGGUCGCUCUAUCCAAAACAUAAGAGAUUUUGUAAGGAAAUCGGGGCGUAACUUUGAAAAGAAAAGAAAAUCCUGGAUAGAUACAACACCCUGCAGCAGAGCUGGAACAUAUCCAACAUCACAUCCUACAUCACACCCAACAUCACAUCCAACAUCCCAUCCAUGACAUAUAACACCAUACAGCUACAGUACAUCACAUCCAACAUCACAUCUAACACCAUACAGCUACAGUACUUCACAUCCAACAUCACAUCUAACACCAUACAGCUACAGUACUUCACAUCCAACAUCACAUCUAACACCAUACAGCUACAGUGCAUCACAUCCAACAUCACAUCUAACACCACAUCCAACACCAGGCCUGUUGUAACUGGAACACUGUUAGACAUGCAUUGGUCUAGUAGACAUGCAUAAUUUCAUUUUGACAUUUAUAAAUGUUUUCCUUUCUGUUCACAAAUACAUUUCUGUUGCUCUGAUAUGUGGUCAAGGCGCUGUAAAAUCCAGUCUACUUCUUUCUGUUUAGUCAUAUUCCAUUUAUCCAUGUUUGGCCUUUUUAAUACACAUAAACUUCACGUUUGUGUAUGUGUAUGGCUAUGGUCCUGAUAAAAAAGUUGGUCCUGGCAAUUACCUGUUUGUGUCAUGGGCGGAGCUAAGUACCUCAUUAUCUUGUGUCCUCUUAAUACAGCAUUCCGUCAGGUUCUUGUAUCUUGAGUUCUGAUGUGUGUAUCUAACUUUUGAAGUGAGAUUUGUGCUGUAUGGCUCAAAUAAAAUUUUUGAAGAUUCA